GCCUGGGGAGUACGAUCGCAAGAUUAAAACUCAAAGGAAUUGACGGGGCCCCGCACAAGCAGCGGAGCAUGCGGCUUAAUUCGACGCAACGCGAAGAACCUUACCAAGGCUUGACAUAUACAGGAAUAUGGCAGAGAUGUCAUAGCGGUAAAACGUCUGUAUACAGGUGGUGCAUGGUUGUCGUCAGCUCGUGUCGUGAGAUGUUGGGUUAAGUCCCGCAACGAGCGCAACCCUCGUUCUGUGUUGCCAGCAUUUAGUUGGGGACUCACAGGAGACUGCCGGGGUUAACUCGGAGGAAGGUGGGGAUGGCGUCAAAUCAUCCUGCCCCUUAUGUCUUGGGCUGCACGCAUGCUACAAUGGCUGGUACAAAGGGCUGCAAUACUGCAAAGUGGAGCGAAUCCCAAAAAGCCAGUCUCAGUUCGGAUUGGGGUCUGCAACUCGACCCCAUGAAGUCGGAGUUGCUAGUAAUCGUAGAUCAGCAACGCUACGGUGAAUACGUUCCCGGGGCUUGUACACACCGCCCGUCACAUCACGAAAGUCGGUAGCACCC
rnacentral:rRNA from 1 species